rnacentral:lncRNA from 1 species
AGGAGAUUGUCUGUACAUGCUCAAUCAUGGGAGCUGCUGCAAGCAAAUUAGCGGUGAAGAAUUGAGUGCAUGGCAUGGGCUGUUACCUCAGUCUGAGAUACAGAUUUUGGGAACUUGAUGGCUGCAUUGCAUCUCUGAUUUGUGCCAAAUUGGUUUCUGUGGGGAAGGAGGAGUGGGAAAAUAUCAAAGAGGAAAGUUCUCAAUCCCGUUGGUUGCAGCAAGCCAGCAACCGUGAAUUUGUCAAUCAGGGAGGCGGAGCUUGACUUGACCAUAUAUUCAAGAAAUACAGUAGGAAAUUUCAUGUAAGGUUUGCAGCUGGAAAAUGUUUGAGAGAAAAUCAUGGCUGAUAUUUGUCUUGGUUCUCUGAUGGUUACAAAAUUCAGUCCGGACAAAUAGGG